GUUGGUUUAACUCGACGCAACGCGCAGAACCUUACCUGGUCUUGACAGUCUCGGGAAUCAUUUGGAAACAUAUGAGUGCCUCGCAAGAGGAGCCGAUGACAGGUGCUGCAUGGCUGUCGUCAGCUCGUGUCGUGAGAUGUUGGGUUAAGUCCCGCAACGAGCGCAACCCUUGUCUUUAGUUGCCAUCAUUAAGUUGGGCACUCUAAAGAGACUGCCGGUGUCAAACCGGAGGAAGGUGGGAUGACGUCAAGUCCUCAUGGCCUUUAUGUCUAGGGCUACACACGUACUACAAUGGCAGGUACAAAGGGCAGCGACACAGCGAUGCGAUGCGAAUCCCGAAAAGCCUGUCUCAGUCCGGAUCGGAGUCUGCAACUCGACUCCGUGAAGUUGGAAUCGCUAGUAAUCGUGGAUCAGCAUGCCACGGUGAAUACGUUCCCGGGCCUU
rnacentral:rRNA from 1 species